GACAAGGUGGCUGAGUGGUGAAGGCGAUGGACCGUUAAUUAAUUGUGCUCUGCACGCGUGGGUUUGAAUCCCACCCUCGUCA